rnacentral:rRNA from 1 species
GACGUAGGGGGCGAGCGUUGUCCGGAUUCAUUGGGCGUAAAGCGCGCGCAGGCGGCCCGGUAAGUCGGAUGUGAAAUCCCACGGCUCAACCGUGGAACUGCAUUCGAUACUGUCGGGCUAGAGGCAGGUAGGGGAGAUCGGAAUUCCUGGUGUAGCAGUGAAAUGCGCAGAUAUCAGGAGGAACACCGGUGGCGAAGGCGGAUCUCUGGGCCUGUCCUGACGCUCAGGCGCGAAAGCUAGGGGAGCAAACAGG